ensembl:lncRNA
GGCGGUGCCCGAUGCUGUUCCGGAGGUCGAGGCGGUGCCCGAUGCCGAUGCUGUGCCCGAUGCCGAGGCGGUGCCCGAGGCCGUUCCGGAGGUCGAGGCGGUGCCCGAUGCUGUUCCGGAGGUCGAGGCGGUGCCCGAUGCUGUUCCCGAUGCCGAGGCGGUGCCCGAUGCCGAUGUGGUACCCGAUGCUGUUCCGGAGGCCGAGGCGGUGCCCGAUCCCGAGGUCGUUCCCGAUGCCGAGGCGGUGCCCGAGGCUUUGUCUGAAGCCGAGGCGGUGCCCGAUGCUGUUCCGGAGGUGCCCGAUGUUGGUCCCGAUGCCGAGGCGGUGCCCGAUGCUGUUCCGGAGGUCGAGGCGGUGCCCGAUGCCGAG